rnacentral:rRNA from 1 species
GGAUUAGAUACCCUGGUAGUCCACGCCGUAAACGAUGAGUGCUAGGUGUCGGAGUCGACAGGCUUCGGUGCCGCAGCUAACGCAUUAAGCACUCCGCCUGGGGAGUACGGUCGCAAGACUGAAACUCAAAGGAAUUGACGGGGGCCCGCACAAGCAGCGGAGCAUGUGGUUUAAUUCGAAGCAACGCGAAGAACCUUACCAGGUCUUGACAUCCCUCAGACUACUUUAGAGAUAAAGUUUUCCCUUCGGGGACUGAGGUGACAGGUGGUGCAUGGUUGUCGUCAGCUCGUGCUG